rnacentral:rRNA from 1 species
AACUUUCAACAACGGAUCUCUUGGUUCGGGCAUCGAUGAAGAACGCAGCGAAAUGCGAUAAGUAAUGUGAAUUGCAGAAUUCAGUGAAUCAUUGAAUCU